rnacentral:rRNA from 1 species
GACAGAGGGUGCAAACGUUGUUCGGAAUUACUGGGCGUAAAGCGCGUGUAGGCGGCUAAGUAAGUCGGGCGUGAAAUCCCACGGCUCAACCGUGGAAGUGCACUCGAAACUGCAUAGCUAGAGUCCUGGAGAGGAAGGUGGAAUGCUUGGUGUAGAGGUGAAAUUCGUAGAUAUCAAGCGGAACACCGGUGGCGAAGGCGGCCUUCUGGACAGUGACUGACGCUGAGACGGCGAAAGCUAGGGGAGCAAACGGG